rfam:Nicotiana attenuata strain TT chromosome 7, whole genome shotgun sequence.
UGGACAGAUUGUUGUAUUCGACUGUAUUCACGGCGUGAUACAGGGGAUUACACUGUUUUUAAAUGGAAAGUGAAUCAAUUAACAUAAUAGACUCCU